UACGAAGGGGGCUAGCGUUGUUCGGAAUUACUGGGCGUAAAGCGCACGUAGGCGGAUAUUUAAGUCAGGGGUGAAAUCCCAGAGCUCAACUCUGGAACUGCCUUUGAUACUGGGUAUCUCGAGUAUGGAAGAGGUGAGUGGAAUUCCGAGUGCAGAGGUGAAAUUCGUAAGAUAUUCGGAGGAACACCAGUGGCGAAGGCGGCUCACUGGUCCAUUACUGACGCUGAGGUGCGAAAGCGUGGGGAGCAAACAGG
rnacentral:rRNA from 1 species